rnacentral:rRNA from 1 species
GAUGAACGCUGGCGGCGUGCCUAAUACAUGCAAGUCGAGCGAAGCGGGGACGGGUGAGUAACACGUGGAUACCUCCUUUAAGACUGGGAUAACUUCGGGAAACCGGAGCUAAACCGGGUACUUAUAGAUUGAUUCGCGUGGCAUUAACUAGUUGGUGAGGUAACGGCUUACCAAGGCAACGAUGCAUAGCCGACCUGAGAGGGGGAGCGGCCACACUGGAACUGAGACACGGUCCAGACUCCUACGGGAGGCAGAAGUAGGGAAUCUUCCGCAAUGGGAGAAAGCCUGACAGAGCAACGCCGCGUGAGUGAUGAAGGUCUUCGGAUCGUAAAACUCUGUUAGUAGGGAAGCGGUACCUAAUCAGAAAGCCACGGCUAACUCCGUGCCAGCAGCCGCGGUAAUAC